GAUGAACGCUGGCGGCGUGCCUAAUACAUGCAAGUCGAGCGAACGGACGAGAAGCUUGCUUCUCUGAUGUUAGCGGCGGACGGGUGAGUAACACGUGGAUAACCUACCUAUAAGACUGGGAUAACUUCGGGAAACCGGAGCUAAUACCGGAUGAUAUUUUGAACCGCAUGGUUCAAAAGUGAAAGACGGUCUUGCUGUCACUUAUAGAUGGAUCCGCGCUGCAUUAGCUAGUUGGUAAGGUAACGGCUUACCAAGGCAACGAUGCAUAGCCGACCUGAGAGAGUGAUCGGCCACACUGGAACUGAGACACGGUCCAGACUCCUACGAGAGGCAGCAGUAGGGAAUCUUCCGCAAAGGGCGAAAGCCUGACGGAGCAACGCCGCGUGAGUGAUGAAGGUCUUCGGAUCGUAAAACUCUGUUAUUAGGGAAGAACAUAUGUGUAAGUAACUGUGCACAUCUUGACGGUACCUAAUCAGAAAGCCACGGCUAACUACGUG
rnacentral:rRNA from 1 species